GGGGUUCUGAGAGGAAGGUCCCCCACAUUGGAACUGAGACACGGUCCAAACUCCUACGGGAGGCAGCAGUGAGGAAUAUUGGUCAAUGGGCGAGAGCCUGAACCAGCCAAGUAGCGUGAAGGAUGACUGCCCUAUGGGUUGUAAACUUCUUUUAUAAAGGAAUAAAGUCGGGUAUGCAUACCCGUUUGCAUGUACUUUAUGAAUAAGGAUCGGCUAACUCCGUGCCAGCAGCCGCGGUAAUACGGAGGAUCCGAGCGUUAUCCGGAUUUAUUGGGUUUAAAGGGAGCGUAGAUGGAUGUUUAAGUCAGUUGUGAAAGUUUGCGGCUCAACCGUAAAAUUGCAGUUGAUACUGGAUAUCUUGAGUGCAGUUGAGGCAGGCGGAAUUCGUGGUGUAGCGGUGAAAUGCUUAGAUAUCACGAAGAACUCCGAUUGCGAAGGCAGCCUGCUAAGCUGCAACUGACAUUGAGGCUCGAAAGUGUGGGUAUCAAACAGGAUUAGAUACCCUGGUAGUCCACACGGUAAACGAUGAAUACUCGCUGUUUGCGAUAUACAGCAAGCGGCCAAGCGAAAGCGUUAAGUAUUCCACCUGGGGAGUACGCCGGCAACGGUGAAACUCAAAGGAAUUGACGGGGGCCCGCACAAGCGGAGGAACAUGUGGUUUAAUUCGAUGAUACGCGAGGAACCUUACCCGGGCUUAAAUUGCAGAUGAAUUACGGUGAAAGCCGUAAGCCGCAAGGCAUCUGUGAAGGUGCUGCAUGGUUGUCGUCAGCUCGUGCCGUGAGGUGUCGGCUUAAGUGCCAUAACGAGCGCAACCCUUGUUGUCAGUUACUAACAGGUUCCGCUGAGGACUCUGACAAGACUGCCAUCGUAAGAUGUGAGGAAGGUGGGGAUGACGUCAAAUCAGCACGGCCCUUACGUCCGGGGCUACACACGUGUUACAAUGGGGGGUACAGAGGGCCGCUACCACGCGAGUGGAUGCCAAUCCCAAAAACCUCUCUCAGUUCGGACUGGAGUCUGCAACCCGACUCCACGAAGCUGGAUUCGCUAGUAAUCGCGCAUCAGCCACGGCGCGGUGAAUACGUUCCCGGGCCUUGUACACACCGCCCGUCAAGCCAUGGGAGCCGGGGGUACCUGAAGUGCGUAACCGCGAGGAGCGCCCUAGGGUAAAACUGGUGACUGGGGCUAAGUCGUAACAAGGUAGCCGUACCGGAAGGUGCGGCUG
rnacentral:rRNA from 1 species